UACGUAGGGAGCGAGCGUUAUCCGGAUUUAUUGGGUGUAAAGCGUGCGUAGGCGGUUUAUUAGGUCUAAGGUUUAAGCCCGGAGCUCAACUCCGGUUCGCCUUAGAAACCGGUUUACUUGAGUAUGGUAGAGGCAAGUGGAAUUUCUAGUGUAGCGGUAAAAUGCGUAGAUAUUAGAAGGAACACCAGUGGCGAAGGCGACUUGCUGGGCCAUCACUGACGCUGAGGCACGAAAGCGUGGGGAGCAAAUAGG
rnacentral:rRNA from 1 species